rnacentral:piRNA from 1 species
GAGUCAGACCGUUGAUUGGUGAUAGACCU